UGUUUGGGGGGAAAUGAUCUCCAUGAUCUCGAGCUUGCGGCUUCCCGCUUGGAGUCGGCCCUGUCUAGGAUUCCGCCUGGUUGCAGCAAGCUGUCCUCCAUGGCAGAACAGCUUGAGGUGGUGGGGGAAUCCUAUGGUGGGGUGGGGAAUUCGAAUUCGGAGGAUGACGAAGGCCCAAAGGUCUACAGUGCUGGGCUUACGCAUGAGGCGAUCCAUUCCCACUCGUGGAGACCUAGCGGCCCAAGUUGGCUCUGGAUCUCCAAGGCGAGUGCAGUGGAGGGGGUUGGAUUUCCAGCCCGCCAGGAGGAGGUGCGCCGCCUUGGGCAUCUUGCGCGGCGGGUUCGUCGAGUUGGUCCACCACCGCCGCUGAACAAACCGUUCGUGGCUGCUCUCAAGGAGGGAGCGAUGGCGAGGAGGGCGCCGCCGCUGCAGAGGAUUGGUAAGCGUCGCCCGGACUUCGAGGAUUGGAUGGAGGAGGAUGAUUUGUUGGACAAUCCCAGAGAGCAGGAUCUUCGCCACAAGUUGCAACGCGGGAAUCGGGAGCCUCCAUCGAGGGAUUGGAGAUCUGAAGGACGACACAGGGAUUUGCGGGCUCCAACCCCCCUGCAAUCUGCUCGGGGGAGCAAUCACAGAGGGGCUCCUCCGCCUAACGCUCGUGGCUCCAUGGGAGGGGACCUUCGUGGGGGACAGACGCUGGAGGAAGAUCAUCACCCAACCCUUGAGGCAGCGAAAGUUCCACCAAAUCCCAGAAGUGAUAAACCUAAAGGUAAAGCUACUGGCUCAGUUAUCUGCUUCCGUUGCACUGAAGUUGGACACCACCAAUUAGGCUGCACCAAUGAUCCCAUUUGCUAUAAGUGUAAAUGACCUGGUCAUAUGGCGGCUGAGUGUGCUGGUAGGCAUGAGAAGAAACUCAGAAUGUUUGGAUUUGGGAUUCCUGGGAAUGGGUUUUAUGCUAUUGAAAUUCCUGAUGCGGAACCAAUUGUUAAGUUUGGUGGGCUCAUUUCUGUCAUUGAAGGGCAAGCUACUGAGGAAAAGUUGGAGAAGGAAUUAAAGAAUCUAAUUAAGUCAGACUGGGAUUACCAUGUCAAAGAACUUGAUAGGAAUGAAUACAGUGCUACCUUUCCUGAUCAGAUGUCCUUAGAUACCUUUGCCAAGUUGACUACAGUGGGGUUAGCAAUCUAUGGUCUGAAAGUCAAGAUUUCCAAAACCAACAUAGACCCAGCUGCCUCUUCUAUCCUCCAUCCCACUUGGUUAAGGAUUGAUGGGCUUCCAGCCUUUGCCAGGAAGGAAGAAGUGGUUAAAGAGAUUGUUUCUUUAGUUGCUGAACCUCUCAAGGUGGAUAGCUUUAGUUUACUUAGAGAGGAACCAGUGAGUCAGAGUCAAUUGCCGAGACCCAGCUAAACUGAAAGGAGUGAUAGAAAUUUUCUUCAAUGGGAUAGGCUAUGACAUUAAGUUCUGGGAAGAAAAGGCAAACUCUUUUAGAGCCAAGGAUGGACCUAGCUCUGGGGUGCCAAGAGAUAGAAAAGGCCCUGACAAGAACAAUGGUAACAAUCAAAAUCAUAAAUAGAAAGGUACAACAACUGGAUCUGAUAAGAACUUGGACAAGAAUCUGGAUGCUAGUCAAGAGGAGGAUGAAUCUCAAGAGGAUAGCAUGGAAGAUCUUAUAAGGGAUGGCUCUCCCAUGGAUGUUGGUCUUGAAAAUGAUACCCUGCUGGUUGAUGCUCAAGGAGAGAUAGGCAAAAACCAAGCUGAUGACAGUGUCAACUCACAAGGACAGGACAGUGGUCAUGAAUAUGAUACUUCUACAGAUCUUUUGCCUACCUGCCCAAGAGAAGGGACUCAAAUGUUAAAUCAUGUUAGCCCUCAGGUGCAGGACUUAGGGGAGGGGAGUCAGAUGUCCCAAGUUUUUUCACAAGAGGAGACCUUGAAUAAAGUUGAAGUUCAUGAAGAUGUGACUGUUCUCUCUCAGGAUGGUGAUCUGCACAAGUCUAGAAGGCAUGAAGAUAGUAUCUCCCAUUCUACCCAACAGAUUCUGGUUCAUAAUGAGGAUGGUGGAUACUGGAUGGACAAGAGCAAAUGGCCAAGUUUAGUUAUCUUAGAGGACCAAGUUCCAGACACUUAGGAAAAUUCACAAGAGGGCCAGCUCACUGAUGAAGGAGGGGAGUGGGUCAAGUCCACUUCCAGAAAGAAGAAACCCAAGGCUGCCAAGCAGAGGGUUGUUGUGGCCACAAGAACCAGUUCAAGAGUUCCUAGGGAUGGGGUGCCCAUAGCUGAGAAGGCUGCAAGGAGGGCUCAGGAAAGAGAUGAACUUUCAACAUUGGGCUCUGUUGUCGAAGGCUUCUGAUCGUGACAAGCUCCAAGAUCUUUUGGGACGACUCAAAUCCUGGGCGAUGAAUUUUGUUCCUACAACUUCGGCCCAGUCAGACAUUGGCUUCAUUUAGUCGUUUUCUGUUGCUGUUAUUUGAGCAGUUGUUCUCGCUCAGUUUCUGUAAAACUGGUGUCCCCAGUCUUUUGUUUGUCGUUUGGACUAUGUACUCGGUUAUUGCUUUCAAUUAAAGCUGAGAUUUUCUCCUUAAAAAAAA